ACGAACGCUGGCGGCGCGCCUAAUACAUGCAAGUCGAGCGAGCGGAACUAACAGAUUUACUUCGGUAAUGACGUUAGGAAAGCGAGCGGCGGAUGGGUGAGUAACACGUGGGGAACCUGCCCCAUAGUCUGGGAUACCACUUGGAAACAGGUGCUAAUACCGGAUAAGAAAGCAGAUCGCAUGAUCAGCUUUUAAAAGGCGGCGUAAGCUGUCGCUAUGGGAUGGCCCCGCGGUGCAUUAGCUAGUUGGUAAGGUAAAGGCUUACCAAGGCGAUGAUGCAUAGCCGAGUUGAGAGACUGAUCGGCCACAUUGGGACUGAGACACGGCCCAAACUCCUACGGGAGGCAGCAGUAGGGAAUCUUCCACAAUGGACGCAAGUCUGAUGGAGCAACGCCGCGUGAGUGAAGAAGGUUUUCGGAUCGUAAAGCUCUGUUGUUGGUGAAGAAGGAUAGAGGUAGUAACUGGCCUUUAUUUGACGGUAAUCAACCAGAAAGUCACGGCUAACUACGUG
rnacentral:rRNA from 1 species